rnacentral:rRNA from 1 species
AUGGCCAAAGACGCAUGGCAAUGCGUUGUGUCUCUUUAUCGGGGAAGCGCAAGCAUUCAACGCUCCAACUAUGAAGUGGUGCAAGAUGAAGCCGGUGAGUUUGCAAUGAAAGAAGAUGAAGAACCUCGUGAGCUCUUUCGGAGAGUGACCAAACUCGCGGUUUCACUCCGAGAUCAUGGAAGCAAGGACACGGAUGACAAUUGGAUCAAGCGCAAGUUCCUAAAGGCUAUGAUGCCCUACAACAAGGCCAUAUCCUCCAUCAUUCGUCAAAGACCGGACUUCCACUCCAUGACCUCAAGUGAAGUGUUCGAUUAG